rnacentral:misc_RNA from 1 species
ACGAGUCCUGAUAAAUAAGUAUUCUAUUUCAUUUGUAGCAAUGAGAAAGCUGGCGGUUGAUGUAAGUCAGCACAUUUAUUUAGAAGAAUUGGGUUAUCAGGGAAGAAUGAUAUAAGAAAUUAAAGUGAGCAUGAUUAUGCUAAUUAAGGUGGCACCACGGUAACGCGUCCUUACA